rnacentral:tRNA from 2 species
GGGUGCGUAGCUCAGGGGUAGAGCAUCUGCCUUUUAAGCAGAGGGUCGGUGGUUCGAUCCCACCCGCACUCA